rnacentral:rRNA from 1 species
CCUACGGGAUGCACCAGUAGGGAAUAUUGCUCAAUGGGCGAAAGCCUGAAGCAGCAACGCCGCGUGCGUGAUGAAGGUCUUCGGAUUGUAAAGCACUUUCGACGGGGACGAUGAUGACGGUACCCGUAGAAGAAGCCCCGGCUAACUUCGUGCCAGCAGCCGCGGUAAUACGAAGGGGGCUAGCGUUGCUCGGAAUGACUGGGCGUAAAGGGCGCGUAGGCGGUUUAUGCAGUCAGAUGUGAAAUCCCCGGGCUUAACCUGGGAACUGCAUUUGAGACGCAUAGACUAGAGGUCGAGAGAGGGUUGUGGAAUUCCCAGUGUAGAGGUGAAAUUCGUAGAUAUUGGGAAGAACACCGGUGGCGAAGGCGGCAACCUGGCUCGAUACUGACGCUGAGGCGCGAAAGCGUGGGGAGCAAACAGGAUUAGAUACCCCAGUAGUC